GGGCGGUACCUUGACGGUACCUAACCCAGAAAGCCACGGCUAACUACGUGCCAGCAGCCGCGGUAAUACGUAGGUGGCAAGCGUUGUCCGGAAUUAUUGGGCGUAAAGCGCGCGCAGGCGGUUUCUUAAGUCUGAUGUGAAAGCCCCCGGCUCAACCGGGGAGGGUCAUUGGAAACUGGGGAACUUGAGUGCAGAAGAGGAGAGUGGAAUUCCACGUGUAGCGGUGAAAUGCGUAGAGAUGUGGAGGAACACCAGUGGCGAAGGCGACUCUCUGGUCUGUAACUGACGCUGAGGCGCGAAAGCGUGGGGAGCGAACAGGAUUAGAUACCCUGGUAGUCCACGCCGUAAACGAUGAGUGCUAAGUGUUAGAGGGUUUCCACCCUUUAGUGCUGCAGCAAACGCAUUAAGCACUCCGCCUGGGGAGUACGGUCGCAAGACUGAAACUCAAAGGAAUUGACGGGGGCCCGCACAAGCGGUGGAGCAUGUGGUUUAAUUCGAAGCAACGCGAAGAACCUUACCAGGUCUUGACAUCCUCUGACAACCCUAGAGAUAGGGCUUCCCCUUCGGGGGCAGAGUGACAGGUGGUGCAUGGUUGUCGUCAGCUCGUGUCGUGAGAUGUUGGGUUAAGUCCCGCAACGAGCGCAACCCUUGAUCUUAGUUGCCAGCAUUCAGUUGGGCACUCUAAGGUGACUGCCGGUGACAAACCGGAGGAAGGUGGGGAUGACGUCAAAUCAUCAUGCCCCUUAUGACCUGGGCUACACACGUGCUACAAUGGGCAGAACAAAGGGCAGCGAAGCCGCGAGGCUAAGCCAAUCCCACAAAUCUGUUCUCAGUUCGGAUCGCAGUCUGCAACUCGACUGCGUGAAGCUGGAAUCGCUAGUAAUCGCGGAUCAGC
rnacentral:rRNA from 1 species